UUCACUGGGAUGGUACACCUUCAAAGUGUAAAGCAGGUCUCCUAAGGUGAGCUUAGGGACACGAGAAACCUCUUGUGGAGCAAAAGGACAAAAGCUCACUUGGACUUGAUCUUCAGUAUGCAUAAGGUCCAUGAAAGUGAGACUUAUGAUCAUUUUUAUUUUGGGGAUUUUAAGCUGGAA
rnacentral:ncRNA from 1 species